rnacentral:lncRNA from 1 species
GGGAGAAGGUAAUUGUCGCUCAUAGACGCAACAAAGGACUGAUAUCCAAAAGUUAUAAAGAACUCGGCAUCUCAAUAAGAAAGGAAAUGCAGUGGAAAAAUGGGCAAAUUACUUGACCAGUCCCCCCUCACGAACGCCGGAGCCCACCCGCCCGGAGGCCUCGCUGGAGAAGCCUCAUCCGGGAAUCUGGCGCGCGCGCACGCACACAAAACGAGCGGCGCGCGCCGCCGGAGGUGAGUUCCCUUCUGGCGGUUUCUCUAGCUAACGGUGAGUCCCAGAUAGAGGAGCGGCAGGUCACCGCGGCCCAGCUCCGAGUUGGGGGGGCGGCUGGGGGGUCCAGAGUGGGACCCCCCACCCCCCCGCCGUUUGCUGGCCCCGUGCGGUGCAGACCCUCGUUGUCUUCGCUCGGCCGGUGGGCACGGACCCCUCCCUCCUCUUCUCCCACGCGGACUUUCCUUCUCCCCUUGGGCGCGGACUCCACAUCCUGGGGCGCCGGGUGCCUUUUCUCGCCACUCAGGAGGCUAAAAUAGAAGGUACACCAGUGGCCUUCCCAACAACUAUAUCACCCAUGGUUCAUAGAUGGCAUUGCUUCCCAAACUCUAGUAUACAUGAUUGCCUGGUGGCCUCCCAAGGUGGGUAGAGUUGAAGAAGCUACCUGGGCAGGAGGACAAGAGGGCUAGAAUCUCAAGAAUCUCAAGAAUGUGGAUGAUGGCAGCUGGAGUGUGUAUGAAUGCCUGACACAAGUGGAGGCAAAGCUCUAGGCACUGAGAAGAUGAGGUCUUGAUGGGUUGACCAUUGGGUAGGUGUGCCCCCAGAGUAACGGCAUAUAUUGGGAUGAGAUGGAAGAUGUUACCCAGUGCUCAUUCCAUUGUGGUAUAUUUCCAUCCCACAGAGGUUGCAAAAAACCUAGUCCUGUUUGGACAAUUCUGUGUUCAUAAAUUUAAUAAGUUAGGUAAAGGGGCACAAUUUCUUAAAAGACAAACUAUCAAAAUUUACUGUACAAGUAAACUAGUAAACUGAAUAGGCUUGUAUCUGUUGAAGAAGUUGAUGUUUUUUUGUUUUUUUGUUUUUUUCAAAAGAACUGCCAGACCCAGAUAGUUUUGUUGAUGAAUUCCACCCAACAGUUAAGGAAGAAAUGAUGCCAGUUCCACACUUUCAGAAAAUAAAAGGAAUACACACUUGAUUCA